rnacentral:misc_RNA from 1 species
AAAGUCGUAACAAGGUUUCCGUAGGUGAACCUGCGGAAGGAUCAUUAUUAAUACUUGGUUAACACCAGUAAUUUGUGUGCAACUUUUUUGAUGCUGCCAGCACUUGGUAGUGCUUACUUUCGGGUAAGUAUUAGCAUACCUGGCAGCGGUCUUGGGGCCUUUUGGCUCCAAGGCAACCUGGUCUAGCAAGAGUUUAUCUCUUUCUUGGACUGGGCCAUUUACACCAUUAUAUAUCAGUCAUGAAAUCCGUCAACGGGUGGUAGUCGCAAGGCACCGCCUGCUUUGGCAUGAAAAGGGUAAAAACUUUUAGCAACGGAUCUCUAGGCUCUC